rnacentral:rRNA from 1 species
GACGAACGCUGGCGGCGUGCCUAAUACAUGCAAGUCGAACGCAGUGGGGACGGGUGAGUAACACGUGGGUAACCUCCCAUCAGAGGGGAUAACACUUGGAAACAGGUGCUAAACCGAUAUUGAUGGAUGUACCAGCGGUGCAUUAGCUAGUUGGUGAGGUAACGGCUCACCAAGGCCACGAUGCAUAGCCGACCUGAGAGGGUGAUCGGCCACACUGGGACUGAGACACGGCCCAGACUCCUACGGGAGGCAGCAGUAGGGAAUCUUGGGCAAUGGACGAAAGCCUGACGGAGCCACGCCGCGUGAGUGAAGAAGGUUUUCGGAUUGUAAAGCUCUGUUGGUAGAGAAGCGGUAUCUAACCAGAAAGCCACGGCUAACUACGUGCCAGCAGCCGCGGUAAUAC